GAAAACCUUACGAGGAUAAGACAAACGAAGGAUUGACAGAUUGAUCGCUCUUUCUUGAUUGUUUGGGUGGUGGUGCAUGGCCGUUCUUAGUUCGUGGAUUAAUUUGUCUGGUUAAUUCCGUUAACGAACGAGACCUUAACUUGCUAAUUGGAUCUCAAUAUUGUAUAUUAAGAUCUGUUAGAAGGACCAUGUGUGUCUAACACAAGGAAGCGUGAGGCAAUAA
rnacentral:rRNA from 1 species